AAGAAAUUUGUGUGUCCCCUCCUUUCCUUCCCCCAUCCCACCUCCCCCAUGGGGGUCAGCCCAAUUUUGGGGGGUUAAUUUGAAUUUUGGGGGUCUCAGCCCCAUUUUGGGGGAUAAAUUUGGAUUUUGGGGUCUCAGCCCCAUUUUAGGGGUUAAUUUGGGUUUUGGGGGCUCAGCCCAGGUUCAGUCCUGGCUUUGGGCUCUGGGGGUGCCCCGGGUGGGGCUGCACCCCCAAAAUGGGCUGGAAGGGCCAAAUUUGGGAUUUUUUUCCCCAAAAUGGGC
rnacentral:lncRNA from 1 species